rnacentral:rRNA from 1 species
CAAGAGUGAAACUCAAAGGAAUUGACGGGGACCCGCACAAGUAGCGGAGCAUGUGGUUUAAUUCGAAGCAACGCGAAGAACCUUACCUAAGCUUGACAUCCCAAUGACAUCUCCUUAAUCGGAGAGUUCCCUUCGGGGACGUUGGUGACAGGUGGUGCAUGGUUGUCGUCAGCUCGUGUCGUGAGAUGUUGGGUUAAGUCCCGCAACGAGCGCAACCCUUGUCUUUAGUUGCCAUCAUUAAGUUGGGCACUCUAGAGAGACUGCCAGGGAUAACCUGGAGGAAGGUGGGGAUGACGUCAAAUCAUCAUGCCCCUUAUGCUUAGGGCUACACACGUGCUACAAUGGGUAGUACAGAGGGUUGCCAAGCCGUAAGGGGGAGCUAAUCCCUUAAAGCUACUCUCAGUUCGGAUUGUAGGCUGAAACUCGCCUACAUGAAGCUGGAGUUACUAGUAAUCGCAGAUCAGAAUGCUGCGGUGAAUGCGUUCCCGGGUCUUGUACACACCGCCCGUCACACCACGGGAGUUGGAGACGCCCGAAGCCGACUAUCUAACCUUUUGGAAGAAGUCGUCGAAGGUGGAAUCAAUAACUGGGGUGAAGUCGUAACAAGGUAGCCGUAUCGGAAGGUGCGGCUGGAUCACCUCCUUUCUAAGGA